rnacentral:rRNA from 1 species
UACGUAGGGUGCGAGCGUUGUCCGGAAUUAUUGGGCGUAAAGAGCUUGUAGGCGGUUUGUCGCGUCUGCCGUGAAAAUCCGGGGCUCAACCCCGGACUUGCGGUGGGUACGGGCAGACUAGAGUGUGGUAGGGGAGACUGGAAUUCCUGGUGUAGCGGUGAAAUGCGCAGAUAUCAGGAGGAACACCGGUAGCGAAGGCGGGUCUCUGGGCAGUACUGACGCUGAGAAGCGAAAGCGUGGGGAGCGAACAGG